rnacentral:rRNA from 1 species
CCUACGGGGGGCUGCAGUAGGGAAUAUUGGGCAAUGGAGGCAACUCUGACCCAGCCAUGCCGCGUGCAGGAUGACGGCCCUCUGGGUUGUAAACUGCUUUUAUACGGGCAGAAAAAAUACUACGUGUAGUAUACUGACGGUACCGUAAGAAUAAGGAUCGGCUAACUCCGUGCCAGCAGCCGCGGUAAUACGGAGGAUCCAAGCGUUGUUGGGAUUUAUUGGGUCGUAAGGGUGCGUAGACGGAAGUUGAGAAAGCCUGCAGCUUAACUGUAGAAUUGCCAUUGAAACUGAAAAUCUUGAAUUUGGUUAAAGUAGGCGGAAUGUAUCAUGUAGCGGUGAAAUGCUUAGAUAUGAUACAGAACACCGAUAGCGAAGGCAGCUUGCUGAACCAAUAUUGACGCUGAGGCACGAAAGCGUGGGGAGCGAACAGGAUUAGAUACCCGGGUAGUC